UGCCAGCAGCCGCGGUAAUACGAGGGGUGCAAGCGUUAAUCGGAAUUAUUGGGCGUAAAGCGUCCGCAGGCGGGUGGAUAAGUAGGUUAUUAAAUACCGGUGCUCAACAUCGGUGCUGUAAUCUAAACUGUUCAUCUAGAGGGUGGGAGAGGGAUGUAGAAUUCUGCAAGUAGGGGUAAAAUCCGUAGAUAUGCAGAGGAAUACCAAAAGCGAAGGCAACAUCCUGGACCAUUCCUGACGCUCAGGGACGAAAGCGUAGGUAGCAAAACGGAUUAGAUA
rnacentral:rRNA from 1 species